AUGGACAAAGAAGCACACAUUCAGCUACUUGCUUCUGAUUGGCCAAUGCUUGAAGUCAUGGCAUGUCCCGAUUGGUGCUCCUGGUUCAUGUCUCUCUCCCUUAUCUCCUCAAGUGCACAGUCGCAGCCAGCACCUCACGCCUCAUCUCUUCGCUGCCUCGCCGGAGUCGCCGCUCCUCGCCGGAGACGCCGCUCCUCACGCCGCCACAGGUCCUGUCCCCUUCUUCUUCUUCUUCUUCUUCUUCUUCUUCUUCACCCAAGCAGCAGCAUCAGGCUACACUCGCUGCUCCUCGCCGGACAGCAGCGGCGCAGCCGCAAGCAUCGGCCGCCGCUGCUGCUCGUCUUCCUCGGCCACGACAGCAACAGGUGGUCAAGCACGUGUGCAAGCAGCAUCAGUUCGGUGGCUUUGACGCAAGGCAUGAGGAGGCGGCUGCUCCGUGCAACACUGCAUCUCGCCGUCCUCCUCUCGAUCUGUGCCUUCCCUGAACAUCGGAGGCCUGUGCGCAGCUCACCAACGCGGCCAUUGCGGCACUACGGCGACCACCACGGGUGCAUGGGCGGGGCACACGCGAUGGGAGCAGCGCCGGCGACUGGGUUUGGCCACGAUUAA
rnacentral:rRNA from 1 species